UACGUAGGGCGCAAGCGUUGUCCGGAAUUAUUGGGCGUAAAGAGCUCGUAGGCGGCCUGUUGCGUCCGCUGUGAAAGCCCGGGGCUUAACCCCGGGUCGGCAGUGGAUACGGGCAGGCUAGAGGUAGGUAGGGGAGAAUGGAAUUCCCGGUGUAGCGGUGAAAUGCGCAGAUAUCAGGAAGAACACCGGUGGCGAAGGCGGUGGGCUGGGCCGGCACUGACGCUGAGGCGCAAAAGCGUGGGGAGCAAACAGG
rnacentral:rRNA from 1 species